rnacentral:lncRNA from 1 species
CAUGAAAUAAAUUUUGAACAUCAAUUUCAAAUUAAAUACUUUCAAGGUAUUCAAAAUCUCUUUCUUGAAAAUGUACAUAAUAUGGUAUUGUAAUUGUAUACAAAACUCUGCUGAAGAUAUACUUCCAACAAUAUUAUUAUUCCAAUCUCCAUACUAUUCAAAUAGGGUAAUUCAAUUUUGUCAUUUAAUCCUUAAAUAUAAAAUAUUUAAAAUUAUUAUAAUUUAUUUCACAUUAUAUAAAGCGUUAAAUUUGUUACAUAAUAUGUUUGUCUAAAGUAGUAAAAUAAAUUCCUUUACAUAACUAUUCCAUUAGAAUCUUUAGAUUAAGCAUAAUUUAAUCACUAGUUACCCACUCCAUAUGGAAUUAUAUUUGGACAUUUGGUACGUGUAGAGAAAAUCCGGGUGAGGUCUAAUCAAUAAGGUUGCGAGUUCUAACGUUAUCGAAAAGCAAUUGAAUAAUCGUAUUGCUAUCGUAUCAAUGUUUGUUUAUACAAUCGUAGACAGAAGCUUAUAUACUUACGUAUCCCUUUUUUUUAUUAUUUGGAGCUGUAAUUACGUACACAUAACCGUCAAAUGAGUGAACAGGCAAAUUGGUCACUCAUAGAGGUCUGCUAAAAAGGACGAUUACCAGAUUUCAGACUUACCUGGUUGGGGAGAAUAUUGAUCCAAAACAGGUGGAACUUCGAAAUGAGAAAAUAAUUUGAAACGACUUUGAACAACUUUUCAGAAUAGAAAUUGAAAUGUUAAAGUCAAGGGCGGCUCAAGUAUCAUUAAAGAGUAAGCUGUUUCGCUUGCAUCUAUACAUAUAGACAAUCAAGGUGUUUUGCAAGUUGGCCUUGAUUAAAAAAUGCCGUCUCUAUUGAUGUUUUUCAAAGGCAUCCGAAUGUAAUUCCUGACGUUAGUACUUACACAAAAUUUAUAUUCCGGGAGAAGCACAUAAUAUGUAUCCAUUGUGGCCCUCAGGCACUGUUAGGUUGGGUUUUUUUUAUUUUAAUUUGUGAAUUUUUUAAUAAAACUAGUAAAUGAGUGAUGGUCGAUCAUGUUUGAGUGACCAUAAGUAUAAAAAAUCGCGGAAACAAAAAAAAUAAACGAAAUAACUUAGUGCGAAAAACCCCAAAAUUAGAUUCUUUUUUUAAACCAAACAUUAUUUUAAAUGAAGUUGACACUACACAAAAAACGCUCGCUAGUUGUUCAAACUCGGGUACCAAUACUACGGACAUCACUUAUAUUCAAAACGUCACAUCCUCAGAAAGUUUUUCAAAUAAUACUAUUAAAAAAAAAUGAUGUACCAAUAGUCGAUUUAAUCAGCGAGGAUCCUGCAGAAUGGGUAAUUAAUGAUUUGACAAUUGAUCGCUUAUUACAAAAAGAAAUAAAACAAAAUAUUGACUAUGAUUUAUUGUCAACAAAAUUUAAGUUUGGGAGUAAAACGUGAUGCUUAAAAAAAAUAUCGGAAACUGUAUUUUAUUGGAAACUUUUAAAUGGAGAACAGCAGCUUCGAAAUUUUUUAAUUUAUUCUCGUAGUAAAAAUGUGUUAUUUUUUAUUCUCUGUUUAUUCUUUUUUAACUAAAAUGAUAUUGACAUAAAUAACUGUAGGGGCCAGUCGUACGACAACGCCGCCAAUAUGUCUGGAAUUUACUCGGGUUUACAGACAAGGAUAGUAAAAAAAAAUCCUUGCGCGUAUUAUGUACCAUGUGCUGCUUACUCGCUUAACUUGGUUGGGACUUGUGUAGCUGAAUGCGUGAAAGAAGGGUUAUCAUUGUUUAACACUAUUCAACAUCUUUAUUCUUUUUUUUUCUGCAUCUACUAGAUGAUGGGAUAUUUUAAAGUCCAGCCUAACGCUCGGUAAAAAAGUUGUUAAAAGAGCAGAUGAAACUAGGUGGUCUGCUCGGCAUGAAGCUUGUGACAGCUUAUAUCAAAACUAUGACAGUGUUAUGAGAAGUUUAAGUUUAUUAGAAGAAGAUGAUUUUGAAAAGGCGCCGACGCGUUCUAAAGCAGCUGGCUUAAGACGUCAACUUGACCGUUUUAAAACAGUUUUUAUGACUGUAUUUUGGAAUGCAAUAUUGGCGCGUUUUAAUAGCACAAGUAAAGAGCUUCAAAACGUAUACACAGAUUUGGGAAAAAUAGUCAAACUCUAUAAAUCUUUAAUUAAUUUAUAACAUCUAUUUGAAAUGAUAAAUGUUUUAAUGAAUAUGUAAUUUUGGCAAAAAUAAUAAAGAGUGAAGAGUACGAGUUUGAUAAAGUAAGGACUAAAAAACAAACUUCAAGCAGGCAAGAUAAAAGAAAAUAAAGUCCGUAUGACUGGAAGUGAUAAGUUAAAAAUAGAAGCAUAUUUUAUCAUACUGGAUCGUGUAAGAGUGAAAUUGAAAAGAGAUGCGCUGCUUAUAUUAAUAUAUUUGAAAGCAAUAACUCAAAAAGCUUCAAGAAUU